GAAAUUUCUGGGCUUGUGUUCAUCGGCCGAAUUGGAGCUCUUUCAGGACGUUGUUGCGAGCUAUGGCUAGAUGAAGGAACGUGUUUGUGUGAUCGCCAAUAGUACUUUUGCAGGCGCUAUUAGUUGAGGUCGGGCGUACAUGGAUCGAGGCAUAGUUGACGAAUAGCUUCCGCACUUCUUUGUUUGGCUCUGAUCUAUUGUGGGUUACUAUUUUGGGUAGUCCACUUUAGGGGUGACUCGACCAGUUCUCGGUAGAGUUAUCUCUAAGGUGGGCCCCGCAGGGCCACCUCGGAUUUCAGGGUGAAAUCCGGGGCGGGUCCUGUCAAUUUGGUAUCAGAGCAUUAGGUUGUUAGGUUCUGUAGACUCGUUUCUAUUCUGUUACCUUAUAUGCUUGGUGUUGCCCAGUACCUCUCGAGUGAUGGCCCGACUGCAGCGGUUCCCCAUCGUGUACUCUUCGGUGCUGU